rnacentral:rRNA from 1 species
AGAGUUUGAUUAUGGCUCAGGAUGAACGCUGGCGGCGUGCCUAACACAUGCAAGUCGAACGGGUGUACAGAAGGGAAGAUUACGGUCGGAAGAUCUGUGCAUGAGUGGCGGACGGGUGAGUAACGCGUGGGCAACCUGGCCUGUACAGGGGGAUAACACUUAGAAAUAGGUGCUAAUACCGCAUAACGGGAGAAGCCGCAUGGCUUUUUCCUGAAAACUCCGGUGGUACAGGAUGGGCCCGCGUCUGAUUAGCCAGUUGGCAGGGUAACGGCCUACCAAAGCGACGAUCAGUAGCCGGCCUGAGAGGGCGGACGGCCACACUGGGACUGAGACACGGCCCAGACUCCUACGGGAGGCAGCAGUGGGGGAUAUUGCACAAUGGGGGGAACCCUGAUGCAGCGACGCCGCGUGGGUGAAGAAGCGCCUCGGCGCGUAAAGCCCUGUCAGCAGGGAAGAAAAUGACGGUACCUGAAGAAGAAGCCCCGGCUAACUACGUGCCAGCAGCCGCGGUAAUACGUAGGGGGCAAGCGUUAUCCGGAUUUACUGGGUGUAAAGGGGGCGCAGACGGCGAUGCAAGCCAGGAGUGAAAGCCCGGGGCCCAACCCCGGGACUGCUCUUGGAACUGCGUGGCUGGAGUG